AGGGCUGGAGCUCAGUGGCAGAGCAUCUGUUUUGCAUGCAGAAGGUUCCAAGUUCAAUCUCCCAUGGCAUCUCUA